rnacentral:rRNA from 1 species
UACGUAGGGUGCGAGCGUUAAUCGGAAUUACUGGGCGUAAAGCGUGCGCAGGCGGUUUGCUAAGACCGAUGUGAAAUCCCCGGGCUCAACCUGGGAACUGCAUUGGUGACUGGCAGGCUAGAGUAUGGCAGAGGGGGGUAGAAUUCCACGUGUAGCAGUGAAAUGCGUAGAGAUGUGGAGGAAUACCGAUGGCGAAGGCAGCCCCCUGGGACGAGACUGACGCUCAUGCACGAAAGCGUGGGGAGCAAACAGG